rnacentral:rRNA from 1 species
AUGAACGCUAGCUACAGGCUUAACACAUGCAAGUCGAGGGGCAGCAUGGUCUUAGCUUGCUAAGGCCGAUGGCGACCGGCGCACGGGUGAGUAACACGUAUCCAACCUGCCGUCUACUCUUGGACAGCCUUCUGAAAGGAAGAUUAAUACAAGAUGGCAUCAUGAGUCCACAUGUUCACAUGAUUAAAGGUAUUCCGGUAGACGAUGGGGAUGCGUUCCAUUAGAUAGUAGGCGGGGUAACGGCCCACCUAGUCUUCGAUGGAUAGGGGUUCUGAGAGGAAGGUCCCCCACAUUGGAACUGAGACACGGUCCAAACUCCUACGGGAGGCAGCAGUGAGGAAUAUUGGUCAAUGGGCGAGAGCCUGAACCAGCCAAGUAGCGUGAAGGAUGACUGCCCUAUGGGUUGUAAACUUCUUUUAUAAAGGAAUAAAGUCGGGUAUGGAUACCCGUUUGCAUGUACUUUAUGAAUAAGGAUCGGCUAACUCCGUGCCAGCAGCCGCGGUAAUACGGAGGAUCCGAGCGUUAUCCGGAUUUAUUGGGUUUAAAGGGAGCGUAGAUGGAUGUUUAAGUCAGUUGUGAAAGUUUGCGGCUCAACCGUAAAAUUGCAGUUGAUACUGGAUAUCUUGAGUGCAGUUGAGGCAGGCGGAAUUCGUGGUGUAGCGGUGAAAUGCUUAGAUAUCACGAAGAACUCCGAUUGCGAAGGCAGCCUGCUAAGCUGCAACUGACAUUGAGGCUCGAAAGUGUGGGUAUCAAACAGGAUUAGAUACCCUGGUAGUCCACACGGUAAACGAUGAAUACUCGCUGUUUGCGAUAUACUGCAAGCGGCCAAGCGAAAGCGUUAAGUAUUCCACCUGGGGAGUACGCCGGCAACGGUGAAACUCAAAGGAAUUGACGGGGGCCCGCACAAGCGGAGGAACAUGUGGUUUAAUUCGAUGAUACGCGAGGAACCUUACCCGGGCUUAAAUUGCAGAUGAAUUACGGUGAAAGCCGUAAGCCGCAAGGCAUCUGUGAAGGUGCUGCAUGGUUGUCGUCAGCUCGUGCCGUGAGGUGUCGGCUUAAGUGCCAUAACGAGCGCAACCCUUGUUGUCAGUUACUAACAGGUUCUGCUGAGGACUCUGACAAGACUGCCAUCGUAAGAUGUGAGGAAGGUGGGGAUGACGUCAAAUCAGCACGGCCCUUACGUCCGGGGCUACACACGUGUUACAAUGGGGGGUACAGAGGGCCGCUACCACGCGAGUGGAUGCCAAUCCCCAAAACCUCUCUCAGUUCGGACUGGAGUCUGCAACCCGACUCCACGAAGCUGGAUUCGCUAGUAAUCGCGCAUCAGCCACGGCGCGGUGAAUACGUUCCCGGGCCUUGUACACACCGCCCGUCACACCAUGGGAGUGGGUUGCAAAAGAAGUAGGUAGCUUAACCUUCGGGAGGGCGCUUACCACUUUGUGAUUCAUGACUGGGGUG